rnacentral:lncRNA from 1 species
CUUAGUCUUCUUUAGCAAGGUUUCCAAAAUCCCCUGCCAGAAUAAGUGAUGGGAUGGAGCACCCACUCCUAAAUUUAGGAAUUCUUUGGGGAGUGUGGAAUCAAGAAAACAGCACAGAUUUCUCAGCCAGAACACCAUUACUUGCUAGCUGUGGCCCCUGCACAAGCUCUUUG